rnacentral:rRNA from 1 species
CCCCCCCACUUUCUGAGUUUGACCUCGAAUCAGGUAGGAUUACCCGCUGAACUUAAGCAUAUCAAUAAGCGGAGGAAAAGAAACCAACAGGGAUUGCCCUAGUAACGGCGAGUGAAGCGGCAACAGCUCAAAUUUGAAAUCUGGCCUCGGGUCCGAGUUGUAAUUUGUAGAGGAUGCUUUUGGUGCGGUACCUUCCGAGUUCCCUGGAACGGGACGCCAUAGAGGGUGAGAGCCCCGUCUGGUUGGAUACCAAUCCUCUGUAAAGCUCCUUCAACGAGUCGAGUAGUUUGGGAAUGCUGCUCUAAAUGGGAGGUAUAUGUCUUCUAAAGCUAAAUAUUGGCCAGAGACCGAUAGCGCACAAGUAGAGUGAUCGAAAGAUGAAAAGCACUUUGAAAAGAGAGUUAAAAAGUACGUGAAAUUGUUGAAAGGGAAGCGCUUAUGACCAGACUUGGACUUGGUUGAUCAUCCUGGGUUCUCCCUGGUGCACUCUUCCAGUUCAGGCCAGCAUCAGUUCAUCGCGGGGGAUAAAGGCUUCGGGAAUGUGGCUCCCUCGGGAGUGUUAUAACCCGUUGUGUAAUACCCUGCUUUGGACUGAGGUUCGCGCAUCUGCAAGGAUGCUGGCGUAAUGGUCAUCAGCGACCCGUCUUGAAACACGGACCAAGGAGUCGUCUUCGUAUGCGAGUGUUCGGGUGUUAAACCCCUACGCGUAAUGAAAGUGAACGCAGGUGAGAGCUUCGGCGCAUCAUCGACCGAUCCUGAUGUUCUCGGAUGGAUUUGAGUAAGAGCAUACGGGGCCGGACCCGAAAGAAGGUGAACUAUGCCUGUAUAGGGUGAAGCCAGAGGAAACUCUGGUGGAGGCUCGCAGCGGUUCUGACNUGCCAAUCGAUCGUCAAAUNUGGGNNUGGGGGNNAAGACNNNNNNANNNNNNNANNNGCUNGNUNNNNCCGAAGUUCCCCUAGA